GGGGGAGGGCGCAGUUGGUUAGCGUCGCCAUCAUGGAAGUUUUCAGAAAUGCAGUUCUGGAAUUUCUGGGUUCGAAUCCCAGCACCCUCG
rnacentral:tRNA from 1 species